AUUGCAUAACAGGGGGAGCAAGUCCAUGACUUUGGGGCUUAGCAGCAUAGCAGGUUUGCAGAUUCACAGAGCUAACCUGCUGGUAAGAAAGAAACAGGUGUCUUGACUACAAAGUCCAUCAUAACACUAGAAUUUAUGUGCCUGGAGGAGCAGGGAUUUUGUUUACACAGCAACCCCUAAAGACGAUGAGUAUUUGGAAGCUGCUAAGUGACUUCACCGGCAUUGAGACCGGAUAUCCUGAAAAUGAGACUCCUAUUCUGUUUUGUGGAAUAAAGGAUGCACAUUGAAAUUACCUGAAGUUUUAAAAGGUAAAAGCAUUGAUAGUUGCUCAUUGUGAAGUUUUAGACCACUUCUUUCUGUUUAGCAUUUUCUACUCUGCAUUACAUAUUUAUUUUGUCAGAUUCCUUUCUUUUUCUAUGUAGAUCCUGUGUUAUGGGCUGAAUUAUGCUCCUCAAAUGCAUAAGUUGAAGUUAUAUCCUCAAUAUCUCAAAUCCGAGUAUAUUUAGGAACAAAGUCUUAAAGGAGGUAAUUCAGUUAAAAUGAGGUCACUAGGAAGGGCUCUAAUCCAAUACAACUGCUGUGUUCAUAAGAAGAGGAAAUGUGAACACGCUAAUAGGGAAAAAUGAUGUGAAGACACAAGGAAAAGACAGCUGUCUACAAGCCAAGGAGAGAGGCCUCAGAGGGAACCAACCUUGCCAGCACCUUCAUCUUGGAUUUCUGGUCUCCAGAAAUGUGAGAAAAUAAAUGUUGCUUAAGUCUCUCGGUCUCUGGUACU
rnacentral:lncRNA from 12 species